rnacentral:misc_RNA from 2 species
AAGUCGUAACAAGGUCUCCGUUGGUGAACCAGCGGAGGGAUCAUUACCGAGUUUACAACUCCCAAACCCAAUGUGAACCAUACCAAACUGUUGCCUCGGCGGGGUCACGCCCCGGGUGCGUCGCAGCCCCGGAACCAGGCGCCCGCCGGAGGGACCAACCAAACUCUUUUCUGUAGUCCCCUCGCGGACGUUAUUUCUUACAGCUCUGAGCAAAAAUUCAAAAUGAAUCAAAACUUUCAACAACGGAUCUCUUGGUUCUG